ACAAUAGGAAAACUAAGAUAAAUAUAUAAGUGAUAAUUAAUUUAAUUAGAGCGUUAAGCCCGAACCAUGCAAUUUUUGCUUUGUGAUGCGAUCAAGCUGCUCCGUCAUCUCAGGUGAGAGAUAAUUUGCAGAAUCUCCAACUUUACCUUUGCCUGAAGAAGGCACUAUUUGAAACACCAAUAU